rnacentral:rRNA from 1 species
UGCCAGACUCCUACGGGAGGCAGCAGUGAGGAAUAUUGGUCAAUGGCCGAGAGGCUGAACCAGCCAAGUCGCGUGAGGGAAGACGGCCCUAUGGGUUGUAAACCUCUUUUGUCAGGGAGCAAUUGGCGCUACGUGUAGCGUUAUCGAGAGUACCUGAAGAAAAAGCAUCGGCUAACUCCGUGCCAGCAGCCGCGGUAAUACGGAGGAUGCGAGCGUUAUCCGGAUUUAUUGGGUUUAAAGGGUGCGUAGGCGGAAUGCCAAGUCAGCGGUAAAAUCGCGGGGCUCAACCCCGUACUGCCGUUGAAACUGCAUCCCUUGAGUGCGCGAGAAGUAUGCGGAAUGCGUGGUGUAGCGGUGAAAUGCAUAGAUAUCACGCAGAACUCCGAUUGCGAAGGCAGCAUACCGGCGCGCAACUGACGCUCAUGCACGAAAGCGUGGGUAUCGAACAGGAUUAGAUACCCCAGUAGAU